AUUGGGCAGUGAUGAAUCUCAUUGUGAAAAAUGGGUAAUUUGCGUCUGAAAUCUUUCAAUGAUGCUUUAUCACCUUGGAGAACUGAUGCCCUAU